UCCAUGUGCAUGUAUUUGUACGCACGUUCUAAGAGUUUAGCAUACAUCCGAGGGAGGGUUUUAUUCAGUGAGUACGUGAAUCGGGACCCCCUCAGACCUCUUUUCAUGGCCGAUAUGGUCAUAUCUUCGUUAAGGUCUCUGACCUCAAGCGUGGCCACAUUGAAUCAGACCAUAAAAUCUCGAAGUAUUUCGGUCUCUCCUUAUUUGAUCGAAAAGAAACUAUCCAAGAUUCGUGGCGGCCUCCGGCUAG
rnacentral:lncRNA from 1 species